rnacentral:tRNA from 1 species
GCUCCCUUCGUCUAAUGGUUAGGACGUGGCCCUCUCAAGGCUAAAAGCAGGGGUUCGAGUCCCCUAGGGAGCACCA